rnacentral:lncRNA from 10 species
AUGGCGGCAACCAAGAGGAAACAGCAUGGAGGCGUGGCAGUUCAGGCGAAGAACCCAGAAAGAAGCGAAAAAGAGGCGGAGCAGCCAGCUAAGCUGGGCACCACCGCAGAGGAGGUGGAAGAAGAAGAUAGAGACUGGAUCCCAGGCCCCGUUUGCAAGGGGGAGUGAAAAAACAAGGAAUGGAUUUUCAUCUUUUCUUCCAGAGGAAUAAAUAAAUUUCAGAACAAGACAUUUUAUGCAGGACUUGAGAAUGUUGAUGCCUCAUUCUAAAGCAGAUACUAAAAUGGAUCGUAAGCAUAAAUAAUUUGAGAUUAGUGAGUUCUGUGAAAUGAAAAACUGUAAUAAAUGCAUCUACUUUGAAGCUAAGAAAAAAACAGGAUCUCUUUAUGUAGCUUUCAAAUUCACCUCAUGGACCAUCUGCUAAAUUCCUUGUUCAAAAUAGUCAUAGCCUAGCUGAACUACAGAUGACUGGAAACCUUUUGAAAGGUUCUUGCCCCUUUUGUCUUGACCCAGCUUUUGAUGAAUUACUACAUUAUGCUUUGUUAAAAGAACUCUUAAUUCAGAUCUUUAGUACACCGUGGUAUCAUCCCAAAAGCCAACCAUUCGUGGGCCAUGUGUUGACUUUCACCAUUUUGGAUAAUAGGAUAUGGUUUCAGAAGUUUUAUAUCAUAGAAGAAGGUGUUGCUCUUGUAGAAAUAGGACCUUGUUUUGUCUUAAAUCUCAUAAACAUUAUUCAGGGAAGUUUUGGAGGACCAACUUUAUAUAAAAAUUCUCACUACCAGGCACCAAAAAUGCAUUGCCAUGUCAUAAGAUCCAUCACACCUGCAAAAUACAGAGAGAAUCAGCAAGCGAAAGAUGUGCAGAAACUGAGAAAGAAAGAGCCAAAGAUCCUUCUUCCAUGUGAUCCC